ensembl:lncRNA
AUGGGCAAAUGCUCUGUGACAAGCCACCAGGGCAGACUGGUACUGGGAAGACCCUACUAUACAUUUGGCUCUGUCCCUGGCUGGAAAGUUACAAGUCAGUCUACCUCUCUGUGGUCCAGUUUCCACACCUACUACUCUUUAUCCCAUGAGGAACUUCUGGAAACUAAAAAAGACCAGUGGUUCACCCAGGAAUGGACACUUUUCACAAUUUUGGUCAGUGAGGUGAAGUCUGGAACUUCUGGAGUAGUGUUUUCAGCCCUUAAGAAAAUGGAAAUAAGAAAAAUACCAAUUUUUCUGUCUCUAAAUGUCACCGUGUGAGGAUAUGAUACUGGGAACAGCCAUCUUGUGAUCUUGAAGCAAAGGCCAAGAUGAUUGCAGAGAUGGUUGACAUCAUUGAGCUCCUGACUGAACUUCCCUGGAAUUUCCUGGUGCCUAGACUUCCUGUCGGGUAAGACCAGAUGCACCUUUAUUUAUUAAGCCACUUUUAGCUAGGUUUUUUGUUAUUGUUGUUGCUUGCAGCAGAAUGCAUCCUAGGUGAUACAAAAAUCAUACCUACAGGCAAAGAGUCUACAGAUUAUUUGCUUUGGGUGAAGAAGGAGUAACUGAGACUCAGAGGGAAGAAACACUUGCCCAAAUUAUAGAAGGCAGACCUUCUGGCUGCACUACUGUGUGUUUGCCGCUCUACCACACUUGUAAAGGGAACUGCUUGUUCAUGUUAAGGCCAUCAGCAUUCACUCUCAUUUGAAUGAUUUUCUUAUAAUGAUUAAGGAUGCCAUUUUAAGUAAAAUAUUUAGCUUGCCUAACCAGGUAAUGGGAGAUCUUUAGCCACAAGGUUAGAAACUAGACUCAACCUUGUAAUUUAUUGCCUACAACUAUAAGCCAAGCCGCUGUCAGAGAACUGAGAAAAAGAAUAAACAAUGAGACAGCGGCAGCCUGGUCUUUCAACGAUAGAUGGCAAGGCUAGAUAUGGCCAACGAUGACACCAACCCAUAAAUAUUCUAUAUUUAACCUACAGUUUUAAAGUACUUUGAUUGUCAUUAUUGAUGUGUGGACACCCUCAGGGUCUUAAAUUCUAAAUCCCUUAUCUUGUACUGCCAUGUUAUUAGGAAAAAGGGAAAGUGCUUUAAAAAAACAAAACAAAACAAAACAAAACAAAAACCUCCAUUUUGCAUAGCUUCUUAGACUUUGGCCUCACUGGUAUUUGCAUUCUGAGUGUAACAGAGUUGAUGCAUCUCUAAUAUGACAGGAGAAUCCCAGCACUGAGCUAUUCCUGGGGAAAAGAGACUCAGUUUCUGAGUGCAAAGAGGACUGUGUGUCUAGUCAGGGUGAGGUGCAGAUAAAGGGAGUUCUUAAAUCAAAAUGUUUCAAAGUCUUGCAACUAGUUAUUUUAAAAAUCCGUUAUCAAUAAGUCAUAACAUACUCUUUAUAAUGCCAGGGCUACCAUCCUUGCCAAAAAGACUUUUCUGGAGACAGUUUUCUCUCCCCUGUAGCAUCCUGAACUCUACUGAAGAGGCGAAUUCAUGUUGAUGGAUCACCAUUAUUGAAGGAUGCUGGCAUGAUUCCCAUGUGCUCCCCACAAAGAAUCAUUACUCCAACGUAAAAAAUAAAUUCAAACUGAAAUGUUCUCUGUGUCUGGAAAAGCUGCCAUGUUUG